rnacentral:rRNA from 1 species
UAGGGAAUCUUCCGCAAUGGGCGAAAGCCUGACGGAGCAACGCCGCGUGAGUGAUGAAGGUCUUCGGAUCGUAAAACUCUGUUAUUAGGGAAGAACAAAUGUGUAAGUAACUAUGCACGUCUUGACGGUACCUAAUCAGAAAGCCACGGCUAACUACGUGCCAGCAGCCGCGGUAAUACGUAGGUGGCAAGCGUUAUCCGGAAUUAUUGGGCGUAAAGCGCGCGUAGGCGGUUUUUUAAGUCUGAUGUGAAAGCCCACGGCUCAACCGUGGAGGGUCAUUGGAAACUGGAAAACUUGAGUGCAGAAGAGGAAAAUGGAAUUCCAUGUGUAGCGGUGAAAUGCGCAGAGAUAUGGAGGAACACCAGUGGCGAAGGCGACUUUCUGGUCUGUAACUGACGCUGAUGUGCGAAAGCGUGGGGAUCAAACAGG